CGACAAGCAAUUAGCGAGUUGUCACGUGAGCUCUCGACCAAUGAGAUCGCUCUAUUUUCCAUCGUGCUAUCUGCAUAAUUUGGACAGAAAAAUUUGCAUUCGACGGAAAAUAAAUCGAAAAAAAAUAUUAAUAUUAAAAUUUUCUUGCAAAAUUUCAAGUUUAGUAGUACUAUUGCUAAAGAUCUGGUGAUAUCUGCAAAAAUCUCUGAGGUAAACGUUAUUUUCAAUGUUAUUUUGAUGUUUGAAGUUAGUCGACUCCCCGCGACGUGUUGACUCGAGUCUAAAUAUGUUUACAAUGUUUAAAAUGAAAUAUCUAGAAUUCCCAUGGUUCGAUUUUUUUCAUUUUUGGUAGUCGUCAAGACAAAAGUAUAAUCUUUAAAUCUGCUGGAAUGAUCCCGGUGAUCCCCCGGCAGUUUUCGAGAUAUUGACCAUUGAAGUGACUAUUGUCAACUCGACGUUCGCUAAAAUGGCGUCUAAUACCUUGGAAACAAAAUGCGCCAUCAAAGAUGAUAUUUUCAAUGAAUUUUUUUAUUUUGUUAAAAUAUUAUUUAGAAGACUUAGGAGUUGUUUUAAUAUUUUUUUAGAAUUUAUAUCUGUGCGAUUUUCACAGUUUUGUUGUCUUUGGCCGACGCGACUGGAUCGUGUACGUAUUUCAAGACGAGCUUGAUCUCCUGAUACUGGGGUUUUUGUGGCAAAUCGAGCUGCGGAAUCCUCAGCAUGGACAAUCCAGGACAAAUCAGUGUCAUAACAGUCCAUUUCAAACCAGCAGAGAGCUUCACUUGUUUUAAAACAAUAAACAAGUUUUUAUGUAUCAUAUAACAAAUUAAGU